UCUUGCAGUUAAAAUUGGCCCAAUGAGCAUCACCAGAGUAGACUUUGAAGCAGAGGCCGAACAAGAGCACAGUCAGCAGAAUACGUGAUAUUGAUGGUGUUGAACUCUGUCGUUAAUUAAUAGCUGCCUUUCGCUUUCCGUUUUUGAUCCAAACGUUGUCGAUAUAGGUAUGUAAAUUAUUUUCUGCUGGAUCUAAUUUCAGUAGAUAUGCCUAACGACCUACAUGAAUGAAUAUUCUAAUGCACCUAAAGGCCUACGUGAAUGAAUAUUCUAAUGGUUUUGUAAACUUGUCUCAAGACUCUUGGACUCGAUUGCAACAUAAAUGUGCCGGAAAGGAUGGCCAUGUUAGAUUCAAAGUGACUUCCAUAUUAUUGUUAACAUGUUUGGUAAGAUGGACUACAUGAUACUAGAAAGUAUAAUUGUUUGGGGUAAAGAAGAUAUGAUUCUGACAUGUUUAGUUUGAUGGGUUGGACAAUAAUAGAUCAUGUAAAUGAAGUUAUAAACUUGUUAAAAAACUAUCCAAUAUUUGUUCGGUCGGUUUCGGGGCCACGGUUAGUAUUGGAUGGUGCAAACUGGAUUUGGGUUACCUGAAAUUGAAUGCAGAUGAUAUAGUCUCUGUCGAAGAGGAUUUUAUUGAAAUGGGAUUCAUCAUGAGAGAUCAUAAUGGUCUGGUCGUGGUGGCCAGCUCUCGGCAGAUUAGGGGCCUUUUUGACCCUGAAGUUGCUGAAUCAAUUGCCCUGUGUUAUGGUCUCCAGUUGCAAAGGAAAAUGGCUUCAUGGAUUUGGAAGUUGAGUCCAAUGCUCACAGGGUAGUUCACAGUCGAAACCUCGUUUCUUUAUUGGCAUCUAAUGCUGCUAUUUUAAUGGUCCAUUUAAAUGGUUUUUACUAUGGUUUUGGUUCAUACUUGUCUGUUAUGUCAUUUUGUAGAGUGUCAAUGUAAAUGCCUUAAGAUACUUUUGAGCCCUUGCUGAUCUGUCAUUUUUUAUUCAUCUUGCAAACAUUUGCAAGAAGUCUGCUCUUGCAGUUAAAAUUGGCCCAAUGAGCAUCACCAGAGUAGACUUUGGCCGAACAAGAGCACAGUCAGCAGAAUACGUGAUAUUGAUGGUGUUGAACUCUGUCGUUAAUUAAUAGCUGCCUUUCGCUUUCCGUUUUUGAUCCAAAUGUUGUCGAUAUAGGUAUGUAAAUUAUUUUCUGCUGGAUCUAAUUUCAGUAGAUAUGCCUAACGACCUACAUGAAUGAAUAUUCUAAUGUACCUAAAGGCCUACGUGAAUGAAUAUUCUAAUGGUUUUGUAAACUUGUCUCAAGACUCUUGGACUCGAUUGCAACAUAAAUGUGCCGGAAAGGAUGGCCAUGUUAGAUUCAAAGUGACUUCCAUAUUAUUGUUAACAUGUUUGGUAAGAUGGACUACAUGAUACUAGAAAGUAUAAUUUUUUGGGGUAAAGAAGAUAUGAUUCUGACAUGUUUAGUUUGAUGGGUUGGACAAUAAUAGAUCAUGUAAAUGAAGUUAUAAACUUGUUAAAAAACUAUCCAAUAUUUGUUCGGUCGGUUUCGGGGCCACGGUUAGUAUUGGAUGGUGCAAACUGGAUUUGGGUUACCUGAAAUUGAAUGCAGAUGAUAUAGUCUCUGUCGAAGAGGAUUUUAUUGAAAUGGGAUUCAUCAUGAGAGAUCAUAAUGGUCUGGUCGUGGUGGCCAGCUCUCGGCAGAUUAGGGGCCUUUUUGACCCUGAAGUUGCUGAAUCAAUUGCCCUGUGUUAUGGUCUCCAGUUGCAAAGGAAAAUGGCUUCAUGGAUUUGGAAGUUGAGUCCAAUGCUCACAGGGUAGUUCACAGUCGAAAC
rnacentral:lncRNA from 1 species